AUUGAACGCUGGCGGAAUGCUUUACACAUGCAAGUCGAGCGGCAGCGCGGGGCAACCUGGCGGCGAGCGGCGAACGGGUGAGUAAUACAUCGGAACGUGCCCAAUCGUGGGGGAUAACGUAGCGAAAGCUACGCUAAUACCGCAUACGAUCUACGGAUGAAAGCGGGGGAUCGCAAGACCUCGCGCGAAUGGAGCGGCCGAUGGCAGAUUAGGUAGUUGGUGGGGUAAAGGCUCACCAAGCCUGCGAUCUGUAGCUGGUCUGAGAGGACGACCAGCCACACUGGAACUGAGACACGGUCCAGACUCCUACGGGAGGCAGCAGUGGGGAAUUUUGGACAAUGGGCGCAAGCCUGAUCCAGCCAUUCCGCGUGCAGGAUGAAGGCCCUCGGGUUGUAAACUGCUUUUGUACGGAACGAAAAGGCUUUCUCUAAUACAGGGAGCUCAUGACGGUACCGUAAGAAUAAGCACCGGCUAACUACGUG
rnacentral:rRNA from 1 species